GACGAACGCUGGCGGCGUGCUUAACACAUGCAAGUCGAACGGAAAGGCCCUGCUUUUGUGGGGUGCUCGAGUGGCGAACGGGUGAGUAACACGUGAGUAACCUGCCCUUGACUUUGGGAUAACUUCAGGAAACUAGGGCUAAUACCGGAUAGGAGCUCCUGCUGCAUGGUGGGGGUUGGAAAGUUUCGGCGGUUGGGGAUGGACUCGCGGCUUAUCAGCUUGUUGGUGGGGUAGUGGCUUACCAAGGCUUUGACGGGUAGCCGGCCUGAGAGGGUGACCGGCCACAUUGGGACUGAGAUACGGCCCAGACUCCUACGGGAGGCAGCAGUGGGGAAUAUUGCACAAUGGGCGGAAGCCUGAUGCAGCAACGCCGCGUGCGGGAUGACGGCCUUCGGGUUGUAAACCGCUUUCGCCUGUGACGAAUCGUGAGUGACGGUAAUGGGUAAAGAAGCACCGGCUAACUACGUGCCAGCAGCCGCGGUGAUACGUAGGGUGCGAGCGUUGUCCGGAUUUAUUGGGCGUAAGGGCUCGUAGGUGGUUGAUCGCGUCGGAAGUGUAAUCUUGGGGCUUAACCCUGAGCGUGCUUUCGAUACGGGUUGACUUGAGGAAGGUAGGGGAGAAUGGAAUUCCUGGUGGAGCGGUGGAAUGCGCAGAUAUCAGGAGGAACACCAGUGGCGAAGGCGGUUCUCUGGGCCUUUCCUGACGCUGAGGAGCGAAAGCGUGGGGAGCGAACAGGCUUAGAUACCCUGGUAGUCCACGCUGUAAACGGUGGGUACUAGGUGUGGGGUCCAUUCCACGGGUUCCGUGCCGUAGCUAACGCUUUAAGUACCCCGCCUGGGGAGUACGGCCGCAAGGCUAAAACUCAAAGGAAUUGACGGGGCCCCGCACAAGCGGCGGAGCAUGCGGAUUAAUUCGAUGCAACGCGUAGAACCUUACCUGGGUUUGACAUGGAUCGGGAGUGCUCAGAGAUGGGUGUGCCUCUUUUGGGGUCGGUUCACAGGUGGUGCAUGGCUGUCGUCAGCUCGUGUCGUGAGAUGUUGGGUUAAGUCCCGCAACGAGCGCAACCCUUGUUCACUGUUGCCAGCACGUUAUGGUGGGGACUCAGUGGAGACCGCCGGGGUCAACUCGGAGGAAGGUGGGGAUGACGUCAAGUCAUCAUGCCCCUUACGUCCAGGGCUUCACGCAUGCUACAAUGGCUGGUACAGAGAGUGGCGAGCCUGUGAGGGUGAGCGAAUCUCGGAAAGCCGGUCUCAGUUCGGAUUGGGGUCUGCAACUCGACCUCAUGAAGUCGGAGUCGCUAGUAAUCGCAGAUCAGCAACGCUGCGGUGAAUACGUUCCCGGG
rnacentral:rRNA from 1 species